rnacentral:rRNA from 1 species
UAGUCAUACGCUUGUCUCAAGGAUUAAGCCAUGCAUGUCUAAGUAUAAAGGUUAUAAUGAAACUGCAAAUGGCUCAUUCAAACAGUUAUAGUUUAUUUGAUAUUCAAGCUAAUAUUCUUAUUAGUUUAAAUGGAUAACCGUAGUAAUUCUAGAGCUAAUACAUGCGUUACGGGGAACUUUACGGAACCCCAGCGUUUAUUAGAUUUAAACCAAUAUUCCGCAAGGUCUACUGAGAUGAUUCAUGAUAACUGAUCGAAUGCUGGAACUCCAGCAUAAUCAUGUAUGUUUCUGCUUCCCAUCAGCUUGAUGGUAGUGUAUUGGACAACCAUGGCAUUCACGGGCUAUCGGGGGAUUAGGGUUCGAUUCCGGAGAGGGAGCCUGAUAAACGGCUACCACUUCUACGGAAGGCAGCAGGCGCGAAAAUUAUCCAAUCCUGACUCAGGGAGGUAGUGAAAGAAAUAAUGAACUAGGAUUUAUCCUGGGAUCACAAUGGGCUUGAUUUGCAAACACUUAGCGAGGAACAAUUGGAGGGCAAGUCUGGUGCCAGCAGCCGCGGUAAUUCCAGCUCCAAUAGAGUAUAUAAACGUUCCUGCAGUUAUUCGAUGCUCGUAGUUGGAUUUCUGAGGUUGAGACGGGAGGGUGGCUAUGGCCAUCGCCCGACUCUUUCCUCAUCCACCUGUUUGCGAAUCCCGGGAUUGAUUUCUCGGUUUCGGGCGCAGGAUCUUACCAUUUCAUAUUGCGUAGUCUUCAUCGAUUAUGUUGUUUCUUUGAGCAAAUUAUAGUGUUUCAGGCAGGCGUGCGCCGGAAUACGUUAGCAUGGUAUAAACGAAUUGGACCGUGUGCCCGUAACUGGGCUUCUCCUUAUUGUUGGUUUGAAGGACACGGAGAUGGUUAAUAGGGACAGAAUUUAUUCAGGGGGAGGCAUUAGUAUUUAAUUUCCAGAGGUGAAAUUCUUUGAAAUAUUAAAGACUAACAUAUGCGAAAGCAUUCUUUGCCAAUGAUGUUUUCAUUAAUCAUUGAACGAAAGUUAGGGGAUCAAAGACGAUCAGAUACCGUCCUAGUCUUAACCAUAAACGUUGCCGACUAGGGAUCGGAGGGCGUGCACAUUCCGCCUUCGGCACCUUACGAGAAAUCAAAGUCUUUUGGGUUCUGUGGGUAGUAUGGUCGCAAGGCUGAAACUUAAAGGAAUUGACGGAANGNCACCACCANNAGUGGAGCUUNCGGCUCAAUUUGACUCAACACGGGAAAUCUUACCAGGUCCAGACAUAGCGAGGAUUGACAGAUUGAUAGCUCUUUCUUGAUUCUAUGGGU